rnacentral:rRNA from 1 species
UACGUAGGUGGCGAGCGUUAUCCGGAUUUACUGGGCGUAAAGCGCGUGCAGGCGGUUUUGCAAGUCGGACGUCAAAUCUCUCGGCUUAACUGAGAGCCGUCGUUCGAAACUGUAAGACUUGAGGUUGGGAGAGGAAAGCGGAAUUCCCGGUGUAGUGGUGGAAUGCGUAGAUAUCGGGAGGAACACCUGUGGCGAAAGCGGCUUUCUGGCCCACACCUGACGCUAAGACGCGAAAGCGUGGGGAGCGAACAGGAUUAGAUACCCUGGUAGUCCACGCUGUAAACGAUGGAUACUAGGUGUUGGUGGUAUUGACCCCACCAGUGCCGUAGCUAACGCGUUAAGUAUCCCGCCUGGGGACUACGGCCGCAAGGUUA